CGGAGGAAAAGAAACCAACGGGGAUUCCCAUAGUAAACUGCGAGUGAAAGGGGAAGAGCCCAGCGCCGAAUCCUGCUGCUGGCAACGGUGGCAGGAACUGUGGCGUGAAGACAGUCCAUUCCAGUGCGGCUAGCUUGCGUAAGUUCUCCUGAGUGAGGCUCCAUCCCAUGGAGGGUGCAAGGCCCGUAUCGUAAGCAGUUGGCGCUGGUAUCAGCUGUCGGAGAGUCGCCUUGUUUGCGAGUACAAGGUGAAGUCGGUGGUAAACUCCAUCGAAGGCUAAAUAUGACCACGAGUCCGAUAGCGAACAAGUACCGUGAGGGAAAAUUGAAAAGCACUUUGAAGAGAGAGCGAAACAGUGCGUGAAACCGCUUAGAGGCAAGCAGAUGGGGCCUCGAAGGCAAAGCAGUGAAUUCAGCUGGUAGUCCGUAGUGCCGGCCCGUUUGUAGACCGCAAGGCUAUAGCGGGUUGUGAGGCUGCGGCUGCUAGUGCACUUUCACUGUUUGUACGCCACCGCCGUUGAGCGAGCGUCCGUCAGGCUGGCGUGUGAAGCCUUGUGCUUUGGCACAGGUGUCUUACUGCCGGCUUAUUGACGCGUUCGCACCUCAACCGGUCAUGUCAGCGUGUGCCAGCGUAUUGCGUUGGGCUCGUUCACCCUGUGUUUGUGUCGGAGAUGACAAGCUUGCUUGGCUCACUGGCAUAGGCUAGGAAUGGCGCGGGUUUGCAACGUAGGCACAUUGUC
rnacentral:rRNA from 1 species